rnacentral:lncRNA from 10 species
UUUCUGCAUCCUUAGAUUGGCCCUCCUCAGAGCACUUCCAUCAGCCACAAUGAUUUCUGAAUCAAAAGAUGUGAAUCAGAAAUGAAAGCAAAAAUCAUAACCAGGAGCUGCUAGCUUCCAAACCAAACCUGGGAACUAGAAACACCAGAACAUAACUGCAAGUAACCAAUAAACCCUGCCAUAUUUGAACUAAUAGAAAUUAAUGAGAAAGUCCAAUCAAAUCGUUAAUUCUUUGUUUAAGUGACACAUGAAACAGCAAAACUGUGGAAAACUUCUUUGUAGUAGAAAAAAUUCUGAAAUAUAGAAUAGUAUUUAACUUGUUUUAUUGUAUCUUUUGGAAUAUAAGAAUACUAGAGUUACAAGAAUUUGGAAAUUCAUCAAAGUAGAAAACAAGAUUCAACUUCCCUGGUUUCAAAAGGAAAGCUAAAUCUGUAUUCUCUGAAAGAUCUAGGAAAAAUACUUGGCCUAAAAUGAAUAGAUCCUGUUCCCAAAUUUCUAGGAAUUUACAUAUUGGGGUGAUGGUGAUUGUGAUACCAGUUUUCUCAAAACACAUUUGCCUCAACAAGGAAGAUUUCAGCCCACUUUUUUGGUAAAGCAAACAUAUCCAUUCUGUAAAUCAAAUAGUCAAAAUUUGGAUUAAAUUGAGCCCCAUAUUACAAUGGCAACUGGGAUACUUUUUCUACCAUGCAGUAACUCAACUCCCAAUGAUUGUGAGAGUGAAUGGACCCUAAACUAAAUCAUAAUCUGUUUACAAAAUCCCUUCUCAAUGCAGACAACAGUACCUCAGAUUUGUCAAUGGCUUCAUAAGUUUAGGUGUUUCUUCAUAUAUUAUUUCAUGUAUUCACCACAAUAAUUCCACACGGCUAAGAGAGCAGAUAUUAUUCAGCUCAUUUUACAAAAUAGGAAAACUCAUAAAUGGAGAUAGCCUAAGAUUUUCCUAAUGUCACCAUGUGGGUAUAUUACACACCACAUUUCAUUUCACAGCCCGUACUCUAGAAUUAGCAGUGGGUUCUCACUGGACUUAGUCAAAGCCAGAAGAGCUUGAAGUGUGGAAUAUGUUAGUGACAACAUUAAAACUUGAGGACCUCACAAUGUGGUCAAUUGAUUUUUGACAAAGGUUCUCAGACACUUCAGUGAAAGAAAGAAUAGUCUUUCAAAAAAUUGUGCUGAGACAACUGGCUAUCCAUAUAAAGUUAGAAGCCUACCCUCACACCAUACACAAAACUGACCUCAAAAUGGCUCAUAGACCUAAAUAUAAAAUAUAAAACUUAUAGAGGAAAACAGAACAGUAAGUCUCCAUGACCUUGGGAUAGGCAAUGGUUUCUUAGGUACGACAACAAAAGCACAAGUAACAAUAGAAAAGUAGAUAAAUUAACUUCAUUAAAAUUUAAAAAUGUUUUGUGCUUUAAAGGGUAUCAUAAAGAAAAUGCAAAGAUAACCCACAAAACAGGAGGCAAUAUUUGCAAAUCACAUAUUUGAUAAGGGACUUGUAUUCUGAAUAUGUAAAGAAAUAAUACAUUCUAUUAAUUAAAAGACAAUGACCCAAUUACAAAAGGAGCAAAAGAUCCGAAUAGUCAUAUCUCCAACAUAGAUACACAGAUGUCCAGUAAGUUCACGAAAAAGAUGGUCAACAUCAUUAGCCAUCAGGAAAAUGUAAGUCAAAACCACAAUGAAAUACCACUUCACACCCACUAAAAAUAAAAUAAAAUUAAAAAGACAUACGAUAACAAGCAUUAACAAGGAUGUGGAGAAAUUGGAACCCUCAUGUAUUUCUGAUGGGAAUAUAAAAUAAUGCAGCCACUUUGAACAAUAGCUUGGCAGUUCCUUAAAACAUUAAACACAGUUAUGUGACCCAGCAAUUCCACCCCUAUAUCAAAGAAAAAUGAAUAUAUAUGGGCACACAAAAACUUGUACAUGAAUGUUCAUAUCAAUAUUAUUUAUAGUGAACAAAAACUAGAAACAUCAGUGUGCAUCUAUUAAAGAAGAGAUAAAAAGUGGCCUGUUCAUACAAUGA